UUAUUCUUUCUGUACCUGCAGAAGAAAAUAAAAAAUUCAUUAAAAAGAAAGAGAAAAAAGAUCGCAUGGCCAUUGUGCCUCUCUCUUGUGUGGCAGAAGAAUACAGACAAAGGAAGGAGAGAUUAAGAACCUAGACAUGGCUUCUUUCAGCUGUAGGCAUACUUGUGGCAAAGCUUACUGCAGAAUCCCUCCAAGGCUAAUGCACAAGCUUCAAUGAAAGACGUGCAUAUCAAAGGCACUAUCACCACAAUGUUAAACACCCACUGACUUUCUUACUAACCAUAUCUCUGUAUUGGCUA